CCGAGCUCGGCCAGCAGGGGUACGGCGUCGACGUGGAGGCCGGCGCUCGCGUUGUCGGGGUUCCACGCCCCGAGUUCGGC
rnacentral:tRNA from 1 species